AUGAAAAUUAAGAUGAUGAUGAAAAUGUUAAAGAGAUUGUUUCAGGGUGGUUAUUAUUGUAUUUUGCUGUGUGGUUGACCUAUUUUUCUAAUGACAAAGCUCAGUAAGUUUUACUUGUGUAAUUAAGGUGGCAUAUUGGUUUGUGGGGGAAAGUAUGGCAAUUUAAUUUCUUUGGAGAAUGGUGGGUACAUAACUGAGCAUCUAAAUAUCAAUAAUUAUUAUUUUAUUUCGGUAGUCACGAAGGCUUUCUGUCGAGACUUUGAAGCCAUUCAAGUGUAGCAUGCCACUAAAAAACCUGCCCCAAUCAUAUAUACAUUUAGGUGAGAGCCUAGGAAAUCUCUUUCGAAUUUGUAGAGCAACUGUCGUUUACGCGACAUUCUUCACUGUUCAUACGCCCGGCUCGAAGCGAAAACUUCUUCUGCCUCUCUCAACGCCUAGACAUGAUAGGAGAAUGUUAAAAAUAUUGUUAUAACUAUUGGCCCGUUUGAUUCUUAUAUUAGAAUGGGAAUCAAUAUUGGAAC
rnacentral:misc_RNA from 1 species